rnacentral:rRNA from 1 species
ACAUGCAAGUCGAACGGAAGUCGUUGUAAUGAAAUAGAAACGGACAGAGAACUUGUUCGAAGGAAGUGGAAGUAGACUUACAACAAUGGCUUUAGUGGCGGACUGGUGAGUAACGCGUAAGGAACCUGCCUUCUAGAGGGGAAUAACAAUGAGAAAUCAUUGCUAAUACCGCAUAUGCCGAGAGAAUCACAUGGUACAAUCGGGAAAAGAGUAAUCUGCUAGAAGAUGGCCUUGCGUCUGAUUAGAUAGUUGGUGGGGUAACGGCCUACCAAGUCGACGAUCAGUAGCCGGACUGAGAGGUUGAACGGCCACAUUGGGACUGAGAUACGGCCCAGACUCCUACGGGAGGCAGCAGUCGGGAAUAUUGCGCAAUGGAGGAAACUCUGACGCAGUGACGCCGCGUAUAGGAAGAAGGUUUUCGGAUUGUAAACUAUUGUCGUUAGGGAAGAGAAAGGACAGUACCUAAGGAGGAAGCUCCGGCUAACUACGUGCCAGCAGCCGCGGUAAUACGUAGGGAGCGAGCGUUAUCCGGAAUUAUUGGGUGUAAAGGGUGCGUAGACGGGAAGAUAAGUUAGUUGUGAAAUCCCUCGGCUUAACUGAGGAACUGCAACUAAAACUGUUUUUCUUGAGUGCAGGAGAGGUAAGUGGAAUUCCUAGUGUAGCGGUGAAAUGCGUAGAUAUUAGGAGGAACACCAGUGGCGAAGGCGACUUACUGGACUGUAACUGACGUUGAGGCAC